UACGUAGGGAGCAAGCGUUGUCCGGAAUUACUGGGCGUAAAGCGUGCGCAGGCGGUUCUCCAAGUCCGUUGUGAAAGCCCCGGGCUCAACCUGGGAAUGGCAGUGGAAACUAGGGGACUUGAAUCUGGCAGAGGGGGGUGGAAUUCCACGUGUAGCAGUGAAAUGCGUAGAGAUGUGGAGGAACACCGAUGGCGAAGGCAGCCCCCUGGGCUGAGAUUGACGCUCAGGCACGAAAGCGUGGGGAGCAAACAGG
rnacentral:rRNA from 1 species